rnacentral:rRNA from 1 species
CCUACGGGUGGCAGCAGUGAGGAAUAUUGGUCAAUGGUCGGGAGACUGAACCAGCCAAGCCGCGUGAGGGAUGAAGGUCCAGAGUAUCGUAAACCUCUUUUGUCAGGGAACAAAGGCUGGGACGCGUCCCCGGGUGAAUGUACCUUAAGAAAAAGCAUCGGCUAACUCCGUUCCAGCACCCCCGGUAAUACGGAGGGUGCGAGCGUUAUCCGGAUUGACUGGGUUUAAAGGGGGCGGAGGCGGUUUGUUAAGUCAGCUGUCAAAGCCCCGGGCGUAACCCGGGCCUGGCAGUUGAUACUGGCAGUCUCGAGUUCGAUAGAGGUAUGUGGAAUUCGCGGUGUAGCGGUGAAAUGCAUAGAGAUCGCGAAGAACGCCGAUGGCGAAGGCAGCAUGCUGGCUCCACACUGACGCUGAGGCACGAAAGCGUGGGUAGCGAACAGGAUUAGAUACCCGUGUAGUC